CCGUUAUCACACAUCCACCAGGAGGAACAUGUCAUUUUACUGGACUGACAGCGUACACUGACUAUACCUGUAAAGUCCAGCCCACCUACAACAAGAAAAACGUUGGCAAACCAGCUGAAGUGAAACAGAAAACUGCGAUUGGAAAACCAGAAGAUAUCGUUAAACUGAUGGUGACUAUUCCAGAGCAUAAUGUAAUUAGCGUCACCUGUUUUCAUUCAAAACGUUUUAAUGGACCUGAAGAGAAAUACAUUGCACGUCUUUAUUAUGGCAUUGUCGAUCUGAAGAAGACUGAAAAAAAAAAUGCGAGUUUGAAUUCAGAGAUCUUCGCUCUUCUACGACCUACAGAGUGGAGGUGACUGCUUUCAAUGGACAUUAUGAGAGCAACACCAAGAAAGAAAAAUUUGACACUCUCUAUAAUGGCAAAGCUCUCUUUGGGUUUCUGGUCGUCUUUAUCAUCAUCAACAUCACAUGUGUGGUCCUGGCUGUGGGGAUCUUCGUUCAGAAGUGCAGGAGUCUAUGUUAACACACCUCAAUCUGAUGAAGAAAGGCCUGAUGCAGCAGCCAACCAAAUCAUCAUUUACUCCUGUUAAUUUGUUCAGUAUACAGUAGACCUUUUAAACUGUCUACCCAGGCUCCAAGUCUAUUUAGACUCAUAAUGUCUUGUUUGACAGAAAGUUUUGUUUUUCCAGUCUUAGUUGGAUAAUGCGUUCUUAUUUCCUGUUUCUUAAUGUGCACAUUGUAACAAGCAGAACUUUUCUUUUGUCAUUAAAUUUAAUGCGCCUACUACUCCUGGGAAGCCUGCUAUUUGCAUGAAUUGUGUUUGCUUCUGAUGGAUUAUGCAGGGUGUUGUUGGGAAGUCGUUGAA